rnacentral:rRNA from 1 species
GGGGGUAGAUUUAAUUAAUUUUGAGUUAUUAAUAAAAAAAUUUUUAAUUAUAUUUUAAUGGGGGUUAAAGUAUAUAUAUAGAAAAAAUUUAUUAAUUUAUAGGGGAAUAGUAUUGUAAAAGAAUAUUGAAAUAAAUGAAAAUUUAAUUAUUAUUUAAGUAAAUUUAAUUUAUUGUAUCUUGUGUAUCAGAGUUUAUUAAUAAAAAUUUUUAAAAAAAAAAUUCUCGAAUUUAAAAGAGAUAUUUAAUUAUAAAAGUUAUUGUUUCAUAAAUAUUUUUAAUAAUUAAUUGGAAAUGAUAUGUUAAUCGUUUUUAAAUAUAUCUAGUUUUUUUAGAAAUAAAUUUAAUUUAGAAUUUUUUUUUACUUAAUAAAUAAAUUAAUUUAUUUAUUAAGUAAAAAAUUUAAUAUUUUAGGGGAUAAUCUUUAAAUUAAAUUUUUAUAAUUGAAAAAUUUUUAAAUUAAAAUUUUUAAAAUUUAUAUUGUUUAUAAAUUAUAUUUUUUUAUAAAAAAUUUUAUUUAUAAAUAAAAUUUUUAAUUAAUAUUUAAUUUUUUAUAAAAAAAUAAUUUUUAAUUAUUUUAAAUUAGAUAUAAUGAUAAAAUUAGUAUAAAUUUAAUUAAAUUUAAGAUAAAAUUAAUUGAAAAUUAAAAAAAAGGAAUUCGGCAAAUAUUUAUAUUCACUUGUUUAUCAAAAACAUGUCUUUUUGAUUAUAAUUUAAAGUCGAAUCUGCCCACUGAUUUAAUUAUUAAAGGGCUGCAGUAUAUUGACUGUACAAAGGUAGCAUAAUCAUUAGUCUUUUAAUUGAAGACUUGUAUGAAAGAUUUGAUGAAAUAUAGACUGUCUCUUUUAUAUAAUUAGAAAUUAAUUUUUUAGUAAAAAAGCUAAAAUUAUUUUAAAAGACGAGAAGACCCUAUAGAGUUUUAUAUUUAAUAAUAAUUGUAAUUUUAUGUAAAUUUUUAAUGAAGAUUAUUUUAAUUAUUUUGUUGGGGUGAUAGAAAAAUUAAUUAAACUUUUUUUUUUUAUUUACAUUAAUUUAUGAAAUAUUGAUCCAUAAUUUAUGAUUAAAAGAAAAAAUUACCUUAGGGAUAACAGCGUAAUUUUUUUUUUUAGUUCAAAUAAAAAAAAAAGUUUGCGACCUCGAUGUUGGAUUAAGGUAAAAUUUAAAUGCAGAAGUUUAAAGUUUUGAUCUGUUCGAUCAUUAAAAUCUUACAUGAUCUGAGUUCAAACCGGUGUAAGCCAGGUUGGUUUCUAUCUUUAGAAAAUUAAAAUAUUUUAGUACGAAAGGAUUAAAUAUUUAAAAUAAAUUUUAUUUUGUUAGAAUUUUAUUAAAUUUAAAUUUUAAAUUUUUAUGUAA